UAACAAGGAUUCCCCUAGUAACUGCGAGUGAAGCGGGAAAAGCUCAAAUUUAAAAUCUGGUGGUCUUUGAUCAUCCGAGUUGUAAUCUAGAGAAGUGUUAGCCGCGUUGGACCGUGUACAAGUCUCCUGGAAUGGAGCGUCAUAGAGGGUGAGAAUCCCGUCUUUGACACGGACUACCAAGGCUUUGUGGUGCGCUCUCAACGAGUCGAGUUGUUUGGGAAUGCAGCUCAAAAUGGGUGGUAAAUUCCAUCUAAAGCUAAAUACAGGCGAGAGACCGAUAGCGAACAAGUACCGUGAGGGAAAGAUGAAAAGAACUUUGGAAAGAGAGUUAAACAGUACGUGAAAUUGCUGAAAGGGAAACGCUGGAAGUCAGUCGCGUUGGCUAGGAAUCAACCUUACUCUUUUGUAGGGCUUACUUCUUAGUUGACGGGCCAACAUCAAUUUUGAUUGCUGGAAAAAGGCUUAGGGAAUGUGGCACCUUCGGGUGUGUUAUAGCCCUAGGUUGUAUACAGUGGUUGGGAUUGAGGAACGCAGCACGCCGUAAGGUUGGGUCUCUGAUCACACUCGUGCUUCGGAUGUUGGCAUAUAGUGUCUUUCAUCGACCCGUCUUGAAACACGGACCAAGGAGUCUAACAUGCCUGCGAGUGUUUGAGUGGAAAACUCGAGCGCACAAUGAAAGUAAUAGUUGAGAUCUCUGUCAUGGAGAGCAUCGACGCCCGGACCUGAUGUUUACUGACGGUUCUGCGGUAGAGCAUGUAUGUUGGGACCCGAAAGAUGGUGAACUAUGCCUGAAUAGGGUGAAGCCAGAGGAAACUCUGGUGGAGGCUCGUAGCGAUUCUGACGUGCAAAUCGAUCGUCAAAUUUGGGUAUAGGGGCGAAAGACUAAUCGAACCAU
rnacentral:rRNA from 1 species